GCACGGUGGUUCAAUGGUAGAAUUCCCGCCUUCCAUGUGGGAGCACUGAGUUCAAUUCCUGGCCCGUGCA
rnacentral:tRNA from 1 species